ensembl:lncRNA
CCACUACACGUUCAUAUUUUAUUUAUAGUUUGCUGUGUAGGCAACCUUAUACAACUCAGUUUUACAACAUAAGCCUAACUUAAUUGGUUGUCUUCCCAGGUGAUCUGUGCAGGUUGGGAAGACUAUUAGCACAUCAAAACCACACACACACACGUACACAAAUAUAUAGUUUGGUUAUACAAAAUAAAUGUAAAUGCAAGCUGAACACAACCAAUCAGAAAAAGAGCCUCAAUUCUGAAGGCGGAAAAUCAAUUUUAAAAUACUAUUUUCCAUUUUACUUUUCAAAAUAAAUCUAUGCAUUUUUCUAAGGAUUUUUUGCCCAGAAUGACUCAUCUUUAUUUCUCAUGAGAAAGGAAUCUUCCUUUAUUUAUCUCAGCCCUUAUUUAUUGAAUAAACAUCUUCUAAAGUGCUUUUAUUUUUACAAAGAUGCCAUCUAGUGGCUUUAUGAAAUCAAGCAUUUCAAAGUAUUUCCUAUUGUUACUUCGGGUUGAAAUACAUUUUGAUGUAAAUGAAUGAAUUAGGAAAAAACAUUAGAAGAAUAAUUUAGAAAACCAAGGACUUGAAAACUAUGCUUUGGAAAUUACUUGUAUGAACAGAAUUUGGCUCAUAAUGCCUUUGUGAGCUUGUUAAAAGACUGGAAAUACAGAUCCAUAGUCCCUUUUCUGAAACCUUAAGGGACAGAUGUGUUGAAAUUCAGGUUUCUUCAGAUGUUCUAAGGGUAAUUGAGCAUAUACUGUAUAUUCUGUAACACCUCCAGAGGCUUAUGAAAGUACUCCAGAAUCAAACAUAUUAAUAAUUAUGUGGUAAAAAUAUUCACAUUCACAUUAAAGUUUUCUCAUAAUUCAUUUGGAAUUCAGAAUUUAGACAGGAAAUUAUGGACAUGUUUUAUCCUGAGAAAAGAAAUCAACUGCCCAGUUAUAGAAAGAGAGCAAAAUGAAAUAUUCUAUUCCUAUAAAAUAGGAACGCUUAUCUCUAGAAAUGCCUAAAAUAUUCACCUGAAAAAGAAACCAAUAUAAUAUUUGAAGAUUAUGAGAAACUCCAAAAAAAGAGUCUCUCCAAUGCUUUUUGCUUAGUUAUAUAUAGAAACUAAUCCACUAUACAUUUCAUGUAAGCACACAACAAAAAAUUAGCUGCUGAUAUAAACUGAAAAAUCACUUUGAAAGCUCAUUAUUAGAAAUGCAAGGCAUACUAAAUGUAUGAUAUACAUAAAUAGCACAGUCCAAAAAAUAUUUUUAACUUUCUAGAGUUUUCUAGGGUUUUCUAGGGUUUUUGUUUGUUUCUAUAUGUGAUUUGCCAUGUUCCCUUUCCCCUACCUCUGUGUUGAUGAAAGCAUGUGUUAAAAUAUCAUCAUUCUCCACCCAGAUUCCUUGUGUGACUCUUUCAAGCACUGUCAGACCUCAUUACACAUGUAAUAUGAUUAAGAAACAAAUUCUGUUGAAUUAAAAGACAUUGGAACUUAGGGGUAGUCUAUUCUAAUUCACUAUUUUUCUCCUAUUUCCCUUCACUAAGGAGAGUUUUGGCUUAUUGCCUCUAAAUGAAAACAUCUGAAUAAAUUUAUCCAGUCUCCAAUUAUAAUUUCUCCAAUUAUAACUGAAUUAAUAAUUCAAUUCCUAUAUCACAUUUCCACUUUGAUUUUGUUGGGGAGGAAGAAAUUUUCAACCUUCUAGGUUCUUCUGGCUGGUCUAAGAAUUAAAUUGACAUGAGACAGAUUAACAAGAGAAAAUCACAACAAGUUUAAUAACAUGUAUACAUGGGGGAGACUCAGGAGAACUGAGUAACUCCCCCAAAUGGCUGAAGCCCUCACAAUAAAUACCACCUUUAGCUAAAGGUAAGAGGAUGUUGAAGGUAGUGGUUUGGGACUUCGAAGGUGAGGAAGACAAUUCAGAAAGAUAUAGAAAAGCAAAUACUUGAUAGAUAAAUAAAUGCUUGCUGGGCCAUGCAGAGACAAUGGGACAUGAGAAUUUUAAGUCUUUACUAGGUUCCUUUCUAUCUACAUACCUAGCUCAUGUAGUUUUGUAUGGUGAGAGCUCCUUUCAGUUUCUUCCUGAGCCUUUUAGGCCUUGGUUGUUUUCAGCUUAAAACAAUUGGCAUGCCAGAGACAUUUUGGGUGGCAAGUUUUGCUCUCUUUGUGAAUUCUAUUUAAAAUAAACCUCUUCAUCUUUCUCUAAGCCAAAAUCCUAUUUUCUUAUUUACUUUUUUCUCAUGAAGCAUUACUAUCAUUGUAGCAUAAGCUGCAAGCCCACUGAGUACUGAGUUUUAAAGGAAAUUCUGUCCUCAGAUGCAAAAUACUCCAUGGUAUAUUCAGGAUUUGCCGCUUUACCCUAGACCACAAAACAUGCUUGCAUAUGGAGUUUCUAUAACUCCCAUUUGUUUAUAUAACCAUGGAGGCUGGAAGGAGAAAGAAAAGGCCAAUAUUAGCAUAUAUGUGGAAAUUUUAUUCUGUGGAGCAUUGUUAUUUUCUCCCUUUGAAGAAAAAAUUUGAGAGUAGCAACUGCCUGGUGAGGAAGAGGCCUGAUGUUGGUAACAGGGGAAGUGACAAGGGCUCAAGGUUGAAAGUCUUCUCUGCAGUUGGAGAACGUAUUAGUCAAGGUCCUUCAAGACUUGAAGAUCUUGGCUUCUGAGAAUAAUGAGAGUGAUCUUCAAUUUCAUGGGAGUUUCUGGAUAACAAGAGGAGCGAAGACCCUCUGCAAUACCAUCUUGGCCAUCAGAAGGCAUCAGAAGAGCUGGCCCAGUGAGAAAUCUCAUUCGAAAAGCCUGCUGAAGCAUCAGGUAGAGACUUAACUUCUGAAGGCAACAGAAGUUGCCUUCCCCCAUUGUAGUAGGUCCCAAAGUCAGCUUCUUAAUCUGGUGACAAGACCCAUGAGGAGCUGAGGGAGCAGCCGGGAUCCAAGUGGGAGGUAGGCCAGCCAGGUGGAUUGACCAGGGAGAAGAUGCCCUGCAUCCCACUUGCAAAUGUGGACCAGGCAGACCCCUGCACUCAAGAGAGCUGGCCCCAGAGCCCCUCCAGCUCAGACAUGGAGCGCAAGAGGUUGCUCGCCUCUGCCCCACUAACAUCCUAAGAAUAAUGUAAGCUGCCCUUUUACAGUGAAAAAAUAAAAUCUUGAUCUUCUCCAUUUGACAGAUGCCUGCUUUCCUUUUUGUCUAGUAUUCUAAACCUCACUGUUGUACUCAAAAAUCUGCAUUAUAACAACAAAAAAGCUUAAUUAUUUCACUUCUCUAAAUAUAUACUUAAGAAUUAGAAAUGGAAAUGAAGUAAAGAUAAGCUCCCUUACUUCAUCCCCAGUUCUGAGGGAAAGUCAGGAGGUAGAACAAUAGAGGCACAGUGACACCUAAGGUCUGGUGGCACAUAAAGGCUGCCACUGCCGGCAUAGCCUUUCUAUUUAGAAGGCAGACAAUUUCCCCAACUUCUGAUCUAGAAAGGAUGGCAACCCGCCAGGCUGAGUCAUAUUUUGUGGACUCAGGGUAGUUGUGGUUUAUACCUGUUAUUCUUAUCAUACUUCCUUUCACUCUCAAAUCAGUAUACAUUAAAUGAAAAAUUAAAUGGUUAUCCUAGAUGAAACCAUUUUCAUCCCAAAGGAAAGAAUGCCAAAAAUACAAAUAUUCUGCAUUCGGUCCACAGGCAGGAAAAAGGGGGCAUCACUGUGCAGCCACUUAGUUUGAAAAGCUCAAAAUGACUGGUUUCUUUUUCUUUUGAGGUGCCCAGAGGAUGGCGAUUAACUUAAUGAAACGUAAGUGGAGACUAGGGAGACUUAAAUGGGCCAUUCUGAAAAUUGCUCUAGAAGCCACUCAGCAACACUGAAGAUCUUUAAAUAGAAGAAUCUGCUGGAAGAUUAGGAAAGCUUGAUCUGGAAGUUUAGAGGAAGCACCUAGAAAACAUGUGCAGGACUAAAAACUAUCUGGUAUUAAGAUUACAUGGACAGUUGGAGUGAUACAAAGUAUGUAAAAAUGAACCACACACCAAAACCUUUUAAAUACCUGCCCCAUUAUCUGUCUAUUAUCCAUAUGAAGAUUUUUGCACAAAAUGAAAUCCAGUUUGUUACUUCUAUUCACAUUUGUUCUUUAUAGGUCCUUUGACAGAGUAAGUCAAGAAGGCAGAUCUAGGUUCGUUUGGUGAAGCUCAUACAAUACAGGCAGGAGGGAGAGCAUCCCAAGUGUACUCAUAAAGAAUAACAUUAACGGUUGGCAGCAUGGGUUCUGGAGCGAGGCUGUCUAGGUUCAAACUUAGCUCCACAUCCUACUCUGUGACUUGAGUGAUAUUACACUGUCUCUCUAACUCAGUUUCUUCAGGUCCCCAUGUGGCCUAACCGCAGGGGAGCACUACUCACAGUUGAAUUCCAGUUUCCUUCUCUGGAAAAGUGGAUGAUUUGCAGGCUCUCACUCGUCAGAGUUGUAGUGCAGAUUUAAUAAGUAACAUUAGUCAAGUACUUUGAAAAGUGCCUAGCAAACAUUAACAAACAUUAGUUAUUAUUACGACCAUGACUAUGACCACUAGUAUAUAACUAGCAUUUCCAAUGUAUAUAAUCAUGUAAGCUCCCUUUUAUUAACAGCCACAGGAGCUCUGCUGAUAAAAUAUACAAGAAGCCCAAGUUUCAUGCGAGAAGUGAAGCUGAAAGUUGUAUCAAACCAUCUUUCUGUUUUCAUGUGCCCAAAGGAUCUGAAAAAUGGUUGGCCAGAAAAUCAGCUUGAAAAUAUCUAUGCAAACACGACUUAAGAUUAUAUAUUUUGAUCUCAAUAAAUAUAAUACAUAUGUAGAAUCUAAAAUAUGACACAAAUGAACUUAUCUACAAAACAGAAACAGAUUCACAUAGAGAAAAGACUUGCGGUUGUGAGGAAGGAAGGGACAAGGAUGGAGUGGGAGUUUGAGGUUAGCAGAUGCAAACUAUUAUAUUUAGAAUGGAUAAACAAGGUCCUACUAUAUAGUAUAGGGUGAUAAACCAUAAUGGUUUUCUUUUUUUUAAA